rnacentral:tRNA from 1 species
GGUGGAUUGGCGUAAUGGCAACGCGUUAGUUUCCGGUUUGGGUUCCGAGCUAAAGAUUGCGAGUUCGAGUCUCGCAUCCAUCG